rnacentral:rRNA from 1 species
ACUCAAAGGAAUUGACGGGGACCCGCACAAGCGGUGGAGCAUGUGGCUUAAUUCGAUGCAACGCGAAGAACCUUACCCAGGCUUGACAUGCAGCUGCAAGCUUCCUGAAAGGGAGGCCGCCUUCGAGGGCGCUGCACAGGUGCUGCAUGGCUGUCGUCAGCUCGUGCCGUGAGGUGUUGGGUUAAGUCCCGCAACGAGCGCAACCCUUGUGACUAGUUGCCAGUUGGCCAGAAAUGGUCGAUGCACUCUAGUCAGACUGCCCGUGAUAAGCGGGAGGAAGGUGGGGAUGACGUCAAGUCAGUAUGGCCUUUAUGCCUGGGGCUGCACACGUGCUACAAUGGACGGUACAGAGGGAUGCAAGACCGCGAGGUGGAGCUAAUCCUCAAAACCGUCCUCAGUUCAGAUUGGAGUCUGCAACUCGACUCCAUGAAGCCGGAAUCGCUAGUAAAGGCGUAUCAGCUACGACGCCUUGAAUACGUUCCCGGGUCUUGUACACACCGCCCGU